UACGGAGGGAGCUAGCGUUGUUCGGAAUUACUGGGCGUAAAGCGUACGUAGGCGGUUAUUCAAGUCAGAGGUGAAAGCCCGGGGCUCAACCCCGGAACUGCCUUUGAAACUAGAUAGCUAGAGUCUUGGAGAGGUUAGUGGAAUUCCGAGUGUAGAGGUGAAAUUCGUAGAUAUUCGGAAGAACACCAGUGGCGAAGGCGACUAACUGGACAAGUACUGACGCUGAGGUACGAAAGCGUGGGGAGCAAACAGGG
rnacentral:rRNA from 1 species